rnacentral:rRNA from 1 species
UACAGAGGUCCCGAGCGUUGUUCGGAUUUACUGGGCGUAAAGGGUGCGUAGGCGGUUGGUUAAGUUCGAUGUGAAAUCUCCAAGCUUAACUUGGAAAAUGCAUUGAAUACUAUCCAGCUAGAGUGUUGAAGAGGAGACUGGAAUUCUCGGUGUAGCAGUGAAAUGCGUAGAUAUCGAGAGGAACACCAGUGGCGAAGGCGAGUCUCUGGGCAACUACUGACGCUGAGGCACGAAAGCUAGGGGAGCAAACAGG